UGGGGAAUAUUGGACAAUGGGCGCAAGCCUGAUCCAGCCAUGCCGCGUGUGUGAAGAAGGCCUUAUGGUUGUAAAGCACUUUAAGCGAGGAGGAGGCUACUUUAGUUAAUACCUAGAGAUAGUGGACGUUACUCGCAGAAUAAGCACCGGCUAACUCUGUGCCAGCAGCCGCGGUAAUACAGAGGGUGCAAGCGUUAAUCGGAUUUACUGGGCGUAAAGCGCGCGUAGGCGGCUAAUUAAGUCAAAUGUGAAAUCCCCGAGCUUAACUUGGGAAUUGCAUUCGAUACUGGUUAGCUAGAGUGUGGGAGAGGAUGGUAGAAUUCCAGGUGUAGCGGUGAAAUGCGUAGAGAUCUGGAGGAAUACCGAUGGCGAAGGCAGCCAUCUGGCCUAACACUGACGCUGAGGUGCGAAAGCGUGGGGAGCAAACAGG
rnacentral:rRNA from 1 species